GACGAACGCUGGCGGCGUGCUUAACACAUGCAAGUCGAACGGAAAGGCCCUGCUUUUGUGGGGUGCUCGAGUGGCGAACGGGUGAGUAACACGUGAGUAACCUGCCCUUGACUUUGGGAUAACUUCAGGAAACUGGGGCUAAUACCGGAUAGGAGCUCCUGCUGCAUGGUGGGGGUUGGAAAGUUUCGGCGGUUGGGGAUGGACUCGCGGCUUAUCAGCUUGUUGGGGGGGUAGUGGCUUACCAAGGCUUUGACGGGUAGGCGGCCUGAGAGGGUGACCGGCGACAUUGGGCCUGAGAUAGGGACCAGACUCCUACGGGAGGCAGCAGUGGGGAAUAUUGCACAGUGGGCGGAAGCCUGAUGCAGCAACGCCGCGUGCGGGAUGACGGCCUUCGGGUUGUAAACCGCUUUCGCCUGUGACGAAGCGUGAGUGACGGUAAUGGGUAAAGAAGCACCGGCUAACUACGUG
rnacentral:rRNA from 1 species